UACGGGAGGGUGCAAGCGUUAAUCGGAAUUACUGGGCGUAAAGCGUGCGUAGGCGGUUCGUUAAGUCUGUUGUGAAAGCCCCGGGCUCAACCUGGGGAAUGGCAAUGGAUACUGGCGAGCUAGAGUGUGUCAGAGGAUGGUGGAAUUCCCGGUGGUAGCGGGAUGAAAUGCGUAGAGAUCGGGAGGAACAUCAGUGGCGAAGGCGAGUCUCUGGGCUGAUACCGAGCUGAGGCGCGAAAGCCAGGGGAGCAAACGGG
rnacentral:rRNA from 1 species